rnacentral:misc_RNA from 1 species
UCUCCGUAGGUGAACCUGCGGAGGGAUCAUUACUGAGUGAGGGUCUCCGGGCCCGACCUCCAACCCUUUGUGAACCAAACUUGUUGCUUCGGGGGCGACCCUGCCGCUUCGGCGGUGCGGCGCCCCCGGAGGUCUUCCAAACACUGCAUCUUUGCGUCGGAGUUAAAACAAAUUAAACAAAACUUUCAACAACGGAUCUCUUGGUUCUGGCAUCGAUGAAGAACGCAGC